GAUGAACGCUGGCGGCGUGCCUAAUACAUGCAAGUCGAGCGAACGGACGAGAAGCUUGCUUCUCUGAUGUUAGCGGCGGACGGGUGAGUAACACGUGGAUAACCUACCUAUAAGACUGGGAUAACUUCGGGAAACCGGAGCUAAUACCGGAUAAUAUUUUGAACCGCAUGGUUCAAAAGUGAAAGACGGUCUUGCUGUCACUUAUAGAUGGAUCCGCGCUGCAUUAGCUAGUUGGUAAGGUAACGGCUUACCAAGGCAACGAUGCAUAGCCGACCUGAGAGGGUGAUCGGCCACACUGGAACUGAGACACGGUCCAGACUCCUACGGGAGGCAGCAGUAGGGAAUCUUCCACAAUGGGCGAAAGCCUGACGGGGCAACGCCGCGUGAGUGAUGAAGGUCUUCGGAUCGUAAAACUCUGUUAUUAGGGAAGAACAUAUGUGUAAGUAACUGUGCACAUCUUGACGGUACCUAAUCAGAAAGCCACGGCUAACUACGUG
rnacentral:rRNA from 1 species